UCCGCUUUACAGCGGCAGUUUGUUCCGAGUCCCCGACUUUACUCGCUGGUAACAGAACAUGAGGGUUGCGCUCGUUGCGGGACUUAACCCAACAUUUCACAACACGAGCUGACGACAGCCAUGCACCACCUGUGAAUCACCCUCGAAAGCGACUGCUUUUCGGCAGCUUGCAGGUGCAUGUCAAACCCAGGUAAGGUUCUUCGCGUUGCAUCGAAUUAAUCCGCAUGCUCCACCGCUUGUGCGGGCCCCCGUCAAUUCCUUUGAGUUUCAGCCUUGCGGCCGUACUCCCCAGGCGGGGCACUUAACGCGUUAGCUGCGGCACGGAAGGGGUCGAUCUCACCCGCGCCCAGUGCCCAUCGUUUACGGCGUGGACUAC
rnacentral:misc_RNA from 1 species